rnacentral:rRNA from 1 species
AGGGAACAGCCCAGCGCCGAAUCCCCGACGUUGUGCGUCGCGGGAGCUGUGGCGUUUAGGAGUGAGCGUGCCGAGUUCGGAGCGGGCAGCAAGUUCCCCUGACCGGGACCUAUCCGUAGCGGGUGCGAGGCCCAUAGCCGCCCUUUCCGUCUCGGAUGCGAUCUCCUGGGAGUCGGGUUGCUUGGGAGUGCAGCCCUAAUCGGGUGGUAAACUCCACCUAAGGCUAAAUACCGCCGUGAGACCGAUAGCAAACAAGUACCGUGAGGGAAAGUUGCAAAGAACUUUGAAGAGAGAGUUCAAGAGUACGUGAAACUGCUCAGAGGUAAACGGGUGGGCCCUCGAAAUCCUGUGGCGAGAGGAUUCAGUCUGGCGUCGCGGACGCGCUGGUCGGAAGAUCGGUAGGGCUUCCCUGGACAGGGGCCGUCCGAUCGCGCGUCUUCCGCGUUGCCAGACGCAUUUGUCUCUCGUCCGAAGGACGCUGCAGCCGGUCGGGCAGAGCAAGCGCGACGGCCUGAAGGACGGGAAAUGGCAGGUGGCCGGUGGCGUGCUUCGGCGCGUCGCCGGUUGUUAGCCGUCCCGUCGGUGGCUCGUCGCCCGACCGAGGUGUCGCGAGGCCCUCGGGCCUCCUCGUCUCCUCUCCCAGAUGAUGCGGGACAGACCGUCGCAGGCGAACUCCGCCGUCCCGUCGCACUCCCUCGGAGUGGGCGGGCGAACGGAGGGCGCCGUUGGUGACGGCGGACCCGUGGGAGGUCGGAGGCUGGCAGCGAGUAGGUCGGUCACCCACCCGACCCGUCUUGAAACACGGACCAAGGAGUCUAACAUGUGCGCGAGUCAAUGGGUCUUGAACAGGCCCAGGGGCGCAAUGAAAGCGAAGGUCGGCCCGAGCCGACCGAGUCGGGAUCCUCUCCCCUCGGGGGGAGGCGCACCGACGACCCGUCCUAUCCGGCUCGCCGGUUGGGCGGAGUGUGAGCGUACACGUUGGGACCCGAAAGAUGGUGAACUAUGCCCGGACAGGACGA